rnacentral:misc_RNA from 1 species
UUGCGCUGCUCACCUUAAAAGGAUUAGCUGGACAUGUCGUAAGAUUGGUUCUACUUGGCGUAAUAAGUAUUUCGCUGAGGACAUCCCUUCUGGGGUGGCCAAGACUCUCAACAAAGGUCUGCUUUCUAACCCGACUGUCUUCGGACAUCACUUUUUUAUGAUCUGGCCUCAAAUCAGGUAGGACUACCCGCUGAACUUAA